GACGAACGCUGGCGGCGUGCUUAACACAUGCAAGUCGAACGAAGAGCGAUGGACUCUUGCUUCUAUCAAUCUUAGUGGCGAACGGGCGAGUAACGCGUAAUCAACCUGCCCUUCAGAGGGGGACAACAGUUGGAAACGACUGCUAAUACCGCAUACGAUCUAAUCUCGGCAUCGAGGAUAGAUGAAAGGUGGCCUCUACAUGUAAGCUAUCACCGAAGGAGGGGAUUGCGUCUGAUUAGCAAGUUGGAGGGGUAACGGCCUACCAAGGCGAUGAUCGGUAGCCGGACUGAGAGGAUGAACGGCCACAUUGGGACUGGGACACGGCCCAGACUCCUACGGGAGGCAGCAGUGGGGAAUCUUCCGCAAUGGACGAAAGUCUGACGGAGCAACGCCGCGUGAGUGAUGACGGCCUUCGGGUUGUAAAGCUCGGUUAAUCGGGACGAAAGGCCUUCUUGCGAAUAGAGAGAAGGAUUGACGGUACCGGAAGAGAAAGCCACGGCUAACUACGUG
rnacentral:rRNA from 1 species